AUUGAAUGCUGGCAGCGUGGAUGAGGCAUGCAAGUCGAACGAAAUAGAGGCAACUCUAUUUAGUGGCGGAAGGGUUAGUAAUACAUGGGUAACUCACCGUAAACUUGGGAAUAACAGUUGGAAACGACUGCUAAUACCGAAUGUGGUGGAGAGUGGCAACACAUCUUUAUUAAAGCGGGGGAUCAGCGAUGACCUUGCGGUUUAUGAGAGGCUCAUGGGAUAUCAGCUUGUUGGUGAGGUAAAGGCUCACCAAGGCUAAGACGUCUAGGCGGAUUGAGAGAUUGACCGCCAACACUGGGACUGAGACACUGCCCAGACACCUACGGGUGGCUGCAGUCGAGAAUCUUUCGCAAUGGGCGAAAGCCUGACGAAGCGACGCUGCGUGAGCGAUGAAGGCCUUCGGGUUGUAAAGCUCUUUCGCCUGAGGACAAGGGAAUCUGGCUAAUAUCCAGAGGACUUGAGGGUACCAGGUAAAGAAGCACCGGCUAACUCCGUGCCAGCCGCCGCCGUAA
rnacentral:rRNA from 1 species